GACGAACGCUGGCGGCGUGCUUAACACAUGCAAGUCGAACGGAAAGGCCCUGCAUUUGUGGGGUGCUCGAGUGGCGAACGGGUGAGUAACACGUGAGUAACCUGCCCUUUACUUUGGGAUAACUUCAGGAAACUGGGGCUAAUACCGGAUAGGAGCUCCUGCUGCAUGGUGGGGGUUGGAAAGUUUCGGCGGUUGGGGAUGGACUCGCGGCUUAUCAGCUUGUUGGUGGGGUAGUGGCUUACCCAGGCUUUGACGGGUAGCCGGCCUGAGAGGGUGACCGGCCACAUUGGGACUGCGAUACGGACCAGACUCCUACGGGAGGCAGCAGUGGGGAAUAUUGCACAAUGGGCGGAAGCCUGAUGCAGCAACGCCGCGUGCGGGAUGACGGCCUUCGGGUUGUAAACCGCUUUCGCCUGUGACGAAGCGUGAGUGACGGUAAUGGGUAAAGAAGCACCGGCUAACUACGUG
rnacentral:rRNA from 1 species